rnacentral:rRNA from 1 species
UGGGGAAUUUUGCACAAUGGGGGCAACCCUCAUGCAGCGACGCCGCGUUUUUUAGAAGGCCUUCGGGUUGUAAAAAUCUUUUGUAUAGGAAGAAAAUGACAGCACUAUACGAAUAAGGUCCGGCUAAUUACGUGCCAGCAGCCGCGGUAAUACGUAAGGACCGAGCGUUGUCCGGAAUCAUUGGGCGUAAAGGGUACGUAGGCGGUUAAAAAAGUUAGAAGUGAAAGGCUAUAGCUCAACUAUAGUAAGCUUUUAAAACUGUUUAACUUGAGAGAUGGAAGGGAAAGUGGAAUUCCUAGUGUAGCGGUGAAAUGCGCAGAUAUUAGGAGAAAUACCGGUGGCGAAGGCGACUUUCUGGCCAUUAUCUGACGCUGAGGUACGAAAGCGUGGGUAGCAAACAGG